GAUGAGGAAGGGCUAGAUGAGGAAGGGCUAGAUGAGGAAGGGCUAGAUGAGGAAGGGCUAGUUGAGGAAGGGCUAGAUGAGGAAGGGCUAGAUGAGGAAGGGCUAGAUGAGGAAGGGCUAGAUGAGGAAGGGCUAGAUGAGGAAGGCUAGAUGAGGAAGGGCUAGUUGGGCAGGGCUAGAUGAGGAAGGGCUAGAUGAGGAAGGCAAGAUGAGGAAGGCUAGUUGGGUCGGGCUAGAUGAGGAAGGCUAGAUGAUGAAGGGCUAGAUGGGAAGGGCUAGAUGAGGAAGGGCUAGAUGAGGAAGGCUAGAUGAGGAAGGCUAGAUGAGGAAGGCUAGAUGAGGAAGGCUAGAUGAGGAAGGGCAGAUGAGGAAGGCUAGAUGAGGAAGGGCUAGAUGAGGAAGGGCUAGUUGGGCAGGGCUAGAUGAGGAAGGGCUAGAUGAGGAAGGCUAGAUGAGGAAGGCUAGUUGGGCAGGGCUAGAUGAGGAAGGCUAGAUGAGGAAGGCUAGAUGAGGAAGGCUAUUUGGGUCGGGCUAGAUGAGGAAGGCUAGAUGAUGAAGGGCUAGAUGGGAAGGGCUAGAUGAGGAAGGGCUAGAUGAGGAAGGCUAGAUGAGGAAGGCUAGAUGAGGAAGGGCAGAUGAGGAAGGCUAGAUGAGGAAGGGCUAGAUGAGGAAGGGCUAGUUGGGCAGGGCUAGAUGAGGAAGGGCUAGAUGAGGAAGGCUAGAUGAGGAAGGCUAGUUGGGCAGGGCUAGAUGAGGAAGGCUAGAUGAGGAAGGCUAGAUGGGAAGGGCUAGAUGAUGAAUGCUAGUUGGGAAGGGCUAGAUGAUGAAGGCUAGAUGAUGAAGGGCUAUGUGAGGAAGGGCUAGAUGGUAAGGGCUAGAUGGGAAGGGCUAUAUGAUGAAGGGCUAGAUGGGAAGGGCUAGAUGGGAAGGGCUAGAUGACGAAGGGCUAUAUGAGGAAGGGCUAGAUGGGAAGGGCUAGAUGGGAAGGGCUAUAUGAUGAAGGGCUAGAUGGGAAGGGCUAGAUGACGAAGGGCUAUAUGAUGAAGGGCUAGAUGGGAAGGGCUAGAUGGGAAGGGCUAGAUGAGGAAGGCUAGUUGAUGAAGGGCUAGAUGAGGAAGGCUAGUUAGGCAGGGCUAGAUGGGAAGGGCUAGAUGGGAAGGGCUAGAUGGGAAGGGCUAGAUGGGAAGGGCUAGAUGAGGAAGGCUAGUUGGGGAAGGCUAGAUGGGAAGGGCUAGAUGAGGAAGGAUAGAUGGGAAGGGCUAGAUGAGGAAGGGCUAGAUGGGAAGGGCUAGAUGGGAAGGGCUAUAUGAUGAAGGCUAGAUGGGAAGGGCUAGAUGGGAAGGGCUAUACGAUGAAGGCUAGAUGGGAAGGGCUAGAUGAUGAAGGGCUAGAUGGGAAGGGCUAGAUGAGGAGGGCUAGUUGGGGAAGGCUAGAUGGGAAGGGCUAGAUGAGGAAGGAUAGAUGGGAAGGGCUAGAUGAGGAGGGCUAGAUGAGGAAGGCUAGAUGGGAAGGGCUAGAUGAGGAGGGCUAGAUGAGGAAGGCUAGAUGGGAAGGGCUAGAUGAGGACGGAUAGAUGGGA
ensembl:lncRNA